rnacentral:rRNA from 1 species
ACAUGCUCGUCGAGGGGGUUUAGACCCCCGGCGAACGGUCGAGUAAUACCUGGAGACUUCCAUUUAUUUUGGGAUAUCCUCCCGAAAGGGAGAGCAAUACCAAAUGUGAUCGCAAGAUGAAAGCCGCAAGGCGCUAAAUAAAAGGCCCGGGUCCCAUCAGCUAGUUGGUAGGGUAAAGGCCUACCAAGGCUAUGACGGGUAGCAAAAGCGAGAGCUUGAUCCGCCACACUGGGACUGCGACACGGCCCAGACUCCUACGGGAGGCAGCAGUUUGGAAUUUUGGACAAUGGGCGAAAGCCUGAUCCAUCGACGCCGCGUGCACGAAUAAUGCCUUCUGGUUGUAAAGUGCUUUUGCUUGGGAAAAAUUUUUGAUUGUACCAAGAGAAUAAGAGGUUGCUAACUCUGUGCCAGCAGCGACGGUAAUACAGAGACCUCAAGCGUUAUCCGGAAUCAUUGGGCGUAAAGCGUACCGAUAGGUGGUCAUGGUAGCUUUGGGUAAAAGCCAGAAGGCUCAACUUCUGCGUUUGCUCAAAAUACUCCACGACUAGAGGGGCAAAUAGACAGCUGGAACCCAAUGGUGUA